ACGGCUCAGUAACACGUGGACAAUCUGCCCUUGGGUCUGGGAUAACUCCGGGAAACUGGAGAUAAUACCAGAUAGGUCAUAGAUGCUGGAAUGCUCUAUGGCCCAAAGCUCCGGCGCCCAAGGAUGAGUCUGCGGCCUAUCAGGUUGUAGUGGGCGUAAUGGACCCACUAGCCUACGACGGGUACGGGUUGUGAGAGCAAGAGCCCGGAGAUGGAUUCUGAGACAUGAAUCCAGGCCCUACGGGGCGCAGCAGGCGCGAAACCUUUACAAUGCGCGCAAGCGCGAUAAGGGGACCUCGAGUGUUCCUACCUAGUAGGAACUGUCCAGUUGUCUAAAAAACAACUGUUUGCAAGAGCCGGGCAAGACCGGUGCCAGCCGCCGCGGUAACACCGGCGGCUCGAGUGGUGACCGCUUUUAUUGGGUCUAAAGGGUCUGUAGCCGGUCUAACAAGUUCUUUGGAAAAUCUGGUCGCUUAACGAUCAGGCUGCUAGGGGAUACUGUUAGACUUGGGACCGGGAGAGGCUAGAGGUACUUUAGGGGUAGGGGUGAAAUCCUGUGAUCCUUAAAGGACCACCAGUGGCGAAGGCGUCUAGCUAGAACGGAUCCGACGGUGAGGGACGAAAGCUGGGGGCACGAACCGGAUUAGAUACCCGGGUAGUCCCAGCCGUAAACGAUGCGAGCUAGGUGUCAGUUUUACUGCGAGUAAAAUUGGUGCCGUAGGGAAGCCGUGAAGCUCGCCACCUGGGAAGUACGGCCGCAAGGCUGAAACUUAAAGGAAUUGGCGGGGGAGCACUACAACGGGUGGAGCCUGCGGUUUAAUUGGAGUCAACGCCGGAAA
rnacentral:rRNA from 1 species